rnacentral:rRNA from 1 species
UUAAGCCAUGCAUGUCUAAGUACAUGCCGAAAUAAGGCGAAACCGCGAAUGGCUCAUUAAAUCAGUUAUGGUUCCUUAGAUCGUUUCUUCCUACUUGGAUAACUGUGGCAAUUCUAGAGCUAAUACAUGCAGUGAGCCUGGAGCCCUUUGGGUAACGGGUGCUUUUAUUAGACCAAGAUCGAUCGGGUUUCGGCCCGUAUUGUGUGGUGACUCUGGAUAACUUUGUGCUGAUCGCAUUACCGCGAACCGGCGCCGUAUACCUCGCCUCGCCUGCAAGAACCGGCCGGCAGCCUCCGGCUCUCCCAAGAGCGCGGUGGCAUUUGCCGCGGAGGGCGGGAUUUCUGGGCCGCUGUGCGGCCGAGCCAUCGCAUCGCCAAGUUCCAUGACCGACCGCCGACGCGUUCGCCGUUCCUCUCGUACUUGGCGGCGUCGCGCAAUUGUCGGGCCUCGUUCUUGCGCGCUCGAACGGACGGGAGGGCACUCGGCCGCGGUUCCCUUUCGGCAACGCGCGGCUUCGCCUUCGACCGACGUGACCGACCGUUCGCGCUCCGCCUUUCCUCCCGUACUUGGCGGUCCCGCAACGGCCGGACAGGGACGUCCGAGCGCUUCGAGCCACGGUGCAGUGGCGGGUCGAAAGCCGACCCAGAUGUGCGUUACGCCGUUUAUACCCGCUUUCGCCACCUGGCCGACCGUCCAAGGUCGCGGUGUUGGCGUCCGCUGGGCGCAACAAUUUGUCACGGGGUGCCGCUCCACAUUCAGGCAGCCCCGUGGGGAAAAGCCACCCCCGCAUACAAACGGGGGCGGCGGCAGAAAGUGUCGGGCGCAGACGCAACUGCGGCGCUCACCCUUCACG